UACGUAGGGGGCAAGCGUUGUCCGGAAUCAUUGGGCGUAAAGCGCGUGUAGGCGGCUGGCUAAGUCCGCUCUGAAAGCCCGGGGCUCAACCCCGGGAGGCGGGUGGAUACUGGUCAGCUCGAGUCCGGAAGAGGAGUGUGGAAUUCCUGGUGCAGCGGUGAAAUGCGCAGAUAUCAGGAGGAACACCAAUGGCGAAGGCAGCACUCUGGGACGGUACUGACGCUGAGACGCGAAAGCGUGGGGAGCAAACAGG
rnacentral:rRNA from 1 species